ensembl:lncRNA
CACCAGCAGAUGGAGACAGUCCCCUGGAAACCUGUAGCAUUCUUCACCACCAGACAGACUGAGGACAAGACAACCCCAGGUUAUUUUAAUUAAGUUUAUUGUUAUAUGGCAAUACGUUCCAGGCACUUUAAACUUCAACCAGAUCAAAGUACCUCCUCUCCUUCUCAAUGUUUUACUACAACAGGACAAUACACUUACCAGCUCCAACACUUUACAGUACAUAUAAGGAAAAACAAUGAUAUUUGCAUUAAAAACUAUACCUCGAUAAAUAUAUAUCUUCAUGUAACAUUAAGAAGUAAUAGGAAAUAUUCAAAAUAUUGUGAUUUUUAAAUACAUACAAAUUAAAUAGAUUUGUAUAAAAGUAGAAUUUAUAUCCAAUCCAUAGAAGAUUGAGUUACAAUUAUACAUUUGAGAAGGUGCGGUGUACAGAUACAGGCCCAUUAAAGGUGGUAGAGUACACAUACAGGCCCAUUAAAGGUGUGGUGUACACAUACAGGUCCAUUAAAGGUGGUAGAGAACACAUACAGGCCCAUUAAAGGUGUGGUGUACACAUACAGGUCCAUUAAAGGUGGUAGAGUACACAUACAGGCCCAUUAAAGGUGGUAGAGAACACAUACAGGCCCAUUAAAGGUGGUAGAGUACACAUACAGGCCCAUUAAAGGUGUGGUGUACACAUACAGGUCCAUUAAAGGUGGUAGAGUACACAGGCCCAUUAAAG